GAAAAAUCCACUCUUCCUCCCACGGCUGCCCACCACUCCCCCUCGAACCCCACUCCUCCACCAUGAUACCCCACCCCACCACCACCUGCCUCCAGCACCGCCGUUGUCCACCACCUGCUUGGCAGCCGGCGACCACGAGGAUGGCCCCCGACCACCGCGGCACCCACCCACCUCCUCCUCUCACUCCAGGUCCGCGUGCGCCUCCCUCCCCAAACCACAGUGCCCUGCCUCCUCCUCCAGGUUGUCGCCGACCUGCCUCCUCCUCCCACCGGCCGGCGCGGCCCCGCCUCCUCCUCCCAACGACCGGCCCCGCCUGCUCCCCCCUGCCACCUACCGCCGCCGAGCCGCCGCCCAUCCUGCCACUCAGGCACCCUCCCGCGGCCUCGCAGAUCUGACCAUAUCCGGAUCCGGCCGCCACGCCCCUCUCCCUGCCGACCGGCACUUGAUGCGGCCACCGCGCCCCUCUCCCUGCCGAACGGCACCUGAUCCGGCCGCCGCGCCCCUCUCCUUCUUCCUUCCCGGCCGGUCGCUGCUCCCCACGCUGCCGUGCUGAACGGCCAGAGCAACACCAUAGGUGAGCCGCCCCUCCUCUCUCCUUUCCUUCUUCCUCCUCCUCACCUCUCCCCUCACACGGUUGUGCUGCAGGAGCUGCCAUGGCCAUCUCAAGCUUGCUUGUCGCCGCCGCUCUGGAUCCGGCCACCGUCAGCCAGAUCCACUCCAGCGCGCUGCUAGAAACUGGGUAGAAUAGACCCCGCCGCGUGCAGUUUGCCUGGGUCCCUCAUGCGGUGCGAUGCAUCGGUUGCAGUUCGGGGCCCUUUUUUCGGAUUUUGCUUGUGCAAAAGCACUGCAGUAUGCAUGAGUCCUCGGUGCAGCGAGGCUGGGUGUUCUGCCGCAGUUUCUUUUUGUUGAUUUUCCCAAUUUUCAAAGAUGUUGUACUGCAAAAAAAGGAACUACUCGCGCAAAAGGAAGGCACAGUUCCCUUCUGUGUUGGGAGGACCCUCGAGCAAGCUGAUCAACGACAGGUUCGUGUGCAUGCUGGUGACCCGACGGGAGCUCGUGGUUCAAUUCAGAGCCGUGUGUGCUUCAUUGUGCACACUUGCGGUAGGAGGACACAAAAUUGAAUGAAGUUCGCUCGUCUUGUCCUUGCAGAGCACAUGUGCAGUACAGAGCAGAUGUGAAACAACCAUAUAAAACAAAAACAUGC
rnacentral:rRNA from 1 species